rnacentral:rRNA from 1 species
GACGAACGCUGGCGGCGUGCUUAACACAUGCAAGUCGAGCGGUAAGGCCCUUUCGGGGGUACACGAGCGGCGAACGGGUGAGUAACACGUGGGUGACCUGCCCUCAGCUCUGGGAUAAGCCUGGGAAACCGGGUCUAAUACCGGAUAUGACUCCAUGACGCAUGUUGUGGGGUGGAAAGCCUUGUGCGGCUGAGGAUGGGCCCGCGGCCUAUCAGCUUGUUGGUGGGGUGAUGGCCUACCAAGGCGACGACGGGUAGCCGGCCUGAGAGGGCGACCGGCCACACUGGGACUGAGACACGGCCCAGACUCCUACGGGAGGCAGCAGUGGGGAAUCUUGCGCAAUGGGGCGAAAGCCUGACGCAGCGACGCCGCGUGAGGGAUGACGGCCUGGUGUAACGU